CCAAGUUUACAGUGAAGUUGUGUUUGAGAAGAAAUGAUAACGGUUCAGUGGAAAUGGGGGUGAGGUGACUGCCUGCUGUGGGUCGGUGUACUGUGGUGUCCGAUGUGGAAGAGCCAAACCUCUUCCUGAGUGCUGCAGGUCACUGUAAUGAGAGCACAGCUCAAAGAAACGUGAAAGAGAUAGAAAGUCACCUCACCAAAAAUGGGACAUUGGGGAUCUUUGUGGUCGUUCUUCUACAGUUCAGACUGUGACGUGUAAAAAGCAAGGAUCUGUGCAAGUGGGGCCUGUGUGAGUGAGCAGCAGAGGGCUGUGCGUGGCAGCUGGGAGAUCGAGCUGGUGCCAGAAUGGCCAAAAGCAGAAGGAGCAGUCCCCACCCCAAAUGUUUUCAGCCUGGGAGUGACAUCCCCAGCAGUUCCGCUGCGAAGCGAGGGGGAGAUGCACUUCCAGAGCAUGGUGCCAGCUGUGGCCAAGGCACAAGGUGGGAUCCCGCCUGCAGCACACCGCGCCCUGUCUCCCUUGGCCCAGCAGUGUGUGGGGCAUGAGGAGAGCCGGAGCUCACAGAAGGCCUCGGACAGGUCUGGUGUGUCCGAGGGCUGCAGUCACAAGUGAGUCAGAGUGCUGGCACGUUCCAGGCAGGCAUUAUCAUUAUCCAGUGAUAAUACUGUGAACUGUCAGCUGUCAAACAGGGAAGUGGUUAAAAUAAUUGCACCGAAACACUGUUAGUUAUGAGACCAAAACCCACAGAACCCAACCCUUCAGGUUUAAGGGUUUUUAACCCGCUAUGAGCCCCUCUGCCUCAUGAGAUCACUCCUUGAGGAGCACCCAGUAUAGCACCCGUGCGCUCGGAUGCGCAGGGAAAUCCUACAAAGCCAUUCCACGUUACAUAAAGCCCUAACAGCCUGUGGGAGAGCUCUAAAAGAUGGUUGUAUUUUCUUUAACCCAAACAUUCCUUACGCUAAUCAAAAUACCAAGGAGAUAAAAACACUGUUGCUUCAGAUGUCAUCGCUUAGCCUUGGCUUUCCUGCUGCCAUCGCCGGGAUGCUGGCAGCCAGUGGCAGCGGGCAGGAAGUACGGGGCAGGAGAAAUUGGGCAGGAAAAAGGCAGAGCGGUCCUCCAGGUGUGGCAGGGCCUGUCCCUGCCUGGUGGCUGUCGGCGGCUCCUGGCUGUUGAGGAAAAGUGGAAACUUGGCACAUGAGUUGUGUAUUUCAGAGCUCAAUGGCACAAGUCGAUGGCCGGGGGAGACAAGAGGAUGUAAUGCGAAACAGUCCAAGCAACAGCCUGGUGAGCAGCGCACACAUGGAUCUGCUGCUGAGCUCUGGGUAAUGUAUGUUCUCCCUCGCCUUACGGAAGACUGAACCAAAAGACAUCUUUAAUCCAGAUGAGAUGAGCCCAAGCUGCUUUGCUCUACCGUCUCUUCUUGGAUCCGCUUAUCAAGGUGGAAUUCAAUACCUGUUUGCCCACACUGCCCUUCCCCCACUGCCAGCAGAUCAGCAGAUAGGAGACAGAAUGGCUGAUGAGCUUCCAGCUCCAACCUCUAAGCUGGGAGCCACAAAUGCACACACAACACAAAGGUCUUAAAAAAAAAAAAAAAAAGGAAAAAAAAGAAUAACCUUCCCCUGAUAACAACGUCAGCCUUUCUUUGACACAUGCUUCCUUUAUCUCAACAAAGUACAACUGGAGGAGUAACAGCAUCUUUUUACAGUGUCCGGUCAGCUCACCUUCCCUGCUUCUCCCAGUCCUGCGCUCUCCUUCCCACCUUCAUACUCAGCCCCCAGGCGGACCCGCUGGCUGAGACAACACUUCUCAGCUGUGGGACAGACUGGAAAAGCAGCGGCCACUUUAUUAACUCUUGAAAUGGAAAUGUGCAACUAGUGGGGUCUGAAUGAGAGAAGAUGGAAAUGGAGAAAGCAGCACAGCUCAGUUUCCCACCUCUAUUAUUUUUAAUACCGAAUCGUGUUUAUUUUACUCUCCCCCACAUUUUCACUUUUCAGUAUGCUGUGCGUUUUGUGCUGAUGAUGUGCAGCUGCACCAUAGCGUUUGUCAGGGCUG
ensembl:lncRNA